rnacentral:rRNA from 1 species
AUUGAACGCUGGCGGCAGGCCUAACACAUCAAGUCGAACGGUAACAGGAAGCAGCUUGCUGCUUCGCUGACGAGUGGCGGACGGGUGAGUAAUGUCUGGGAAACUGCCUGAUGGAGGGGGAUAACUACUGGAAACGGUAGCUAAUACCGCAUAACGUCGCAAGACCAAAGAGGGGGACCUUAGGGCCUCUUGCCAUCGGAUGUGCCCAGAUGGGAUUAGCUAGUAGGUGGGGUAACGGCUCACCUAGGCGACGAUCCCUAGCUGGUCUGAGAGGAUGACCAGCCACACUGGAACUGAGACACGGUCCAGACUCCUACGGGAGGCAGCAGUGGGGAAUAUUGCACAAUGGGCGCAAGCCUGAUGCAGCCAUGCCGCGUGUAUGAAGAAGGCCUUCGGGUUGUAAAGUACUUUCAGCGGGGAGGAAGGGAGUAAAGUUAAUACCUUUGCUCAUUGACGUUACCCGCAGAAGAAGCACCGGCUAACUCCGU